UACGUAGGGGGCAAGCGUUGUCCGGAUUUAUUGGGCGUAAAGAGCGUGUAGGCGGCCUGAAAGGUCAGCUGUGAAAACUCGAGGCUCAACCUCGAGACGUCGGUUGAAACCAUCUGGCUAGAGUCCGGAAGAGGAGUGUGGAAUUCCCGGUGUAGCGGUGAAAUGCGCAGAUAUCGGGAAGAACACCCGUGGCGAAGGCGGUUCUCUGGGCAUUACCUGACGCUGAGGAGCGAAAGUGUGGGGAGCGAACAGG
rnacentral:rRNA from 1 species